rnacentral:SRP_RNA from 10 species
GCCAGGUGUGGUGGCUCGUGCCUAUAGUCCCAGCUCCUCGGGAGGGUGAGACAGGAGGAGGAUUGCUUGAGCCCAGGAGUUCUGGGCUGUAGUGCACAGUGCUGAUUGGGUGUCCACAGUAAGUUCAGCAUCAAUAUGGUGACCCCCUGGAAGUGGGAGACCACCAAGUUGCCUAAGGAGAAGUGAACUAACACAGGUUGCAGAUGGAGCAGGCCAAAACUCCCAUGCUGAUCAGUAGUGGGAUUGCACCUGUAAAUAACCACUAUACUCCAGCCUGGGCAACACAGCAAGACUAUUGUC